rnacentral:rRNA from 1 species
AGCGAACGCUGGCGGCAGGCUUAACACAUGCAAGUCGAACGGGCACUUCGGUGCUAGUGGCAGACGGGUGAGUAACACGUGGGAACGUACCUUUCGGUUCGGAAUAAUACAGGGAAACUUGUACUAAUACCGGAUACGCCCUUCGGGGGAAAGAUUUAUCGCCGAUUGAUCGGCCCGCGUCUGAUUAGCUAGUUGGUGAGGUAAUGGCUCACCAAGGAGACGAUCAGUAGCUGGUCUGAGAGGAUGAUCAGCCACACUGGGACUGAGACACGGCCCAGACUCCUACGGGAGGCAGCAGUGGGGAACAUUGGACAAUGUGCGCAAGCCUGAUCCAGCCAUGCCGCGUGUGUGAUGAAGGCCUUAGGGUUGUAAAGCACUUUUGUCCGGGAAGAUAAUGACUGUACCGGAAGAAUAAGCCCCGGCUAACUUCGUGCCAGCCGCCGCGGUAA